rnacentral:rRNA from 1 species
AUGGGAACGCGAAGAACCUUACCUAGACUUGACAUCUCCUGAAUAGUGUAGAGAUACAUGAAGCCCUUCGGGGCAGGAAGACAGGUGGUGCAUGGUUGUCGUCAGCUAGUGUCGUGAGAUGUUGGGUUAAGUCCCGCAACGAGCGCAACCCUUAUUACUAGUUGCUACCAUUAAGUUGAGCACUCUAGUGAGACUGCCCGGGUUAACCGGGAGGAAGGCGGGGAUGACGUCAAAUCAUCAUGCCCCUUAUGUCUAGGGCUACACACGUGCUACAAUGGUGGGAACAAAGAGAUGCAAUACCGCAAGGUGGAGCUAAACUCAAAACCCCAUCCCAGUUCGGAUUGUAGGCUGAAACUCGCCUACAUGAAGCUGGAGUUGCUAGUAAUCGCGAAUCAGAAUGUCGCGGUGAAUACGUUCCCGGGUCUUGUACACACCG